rnacentral:lncRNA from 1 species
UUAUAUAUGGUUGUGUGUAUGAGUUAUAUAAUUGAGAAUGAAAAUGGGGAAUAUGGCUAAGAGACAACAACCCGACCAAAUAGCAGAACACAGUUGUACUCAUGUAUAAAGUUUUGAAAAUUAUUCAAAUUCAAUGUCCUUCUUGCUAUCUUGGCUAUCUGCCUAUUUCUGGGAACUUGAAAUAUAAAUUGGCGAUAGUUCACUAAGUAAUUGUUGAGUGGUUCUAUAUGAAGUCAUCCACUAAAAAGGAUGUCAUUGAGUCAGUAUAAAGUAAUGCAUACUGUGCACACGUGAUAAAAACAUUAAAGUGUUUAUGCUUGACAAACAUGGGUCCAGAAGAAGAUAGUUAUUGAACCCCUCUAUUAUGCUAAUCCAAGAUGGCGGCUUCUAUAUCUAAAUACCUGUCAUUAGCCUUGUCUCAUCACGCAUGCGCAGUACAUUUUCUCAUAACUGGUCCUUGGUUGUUUCAUUUCACUUCUUGUGGAUGAAUUCACAAUGAAUGACGUAACGGAACCUUCCCAACGUACCGCCUCUUCAAAUAGUAGCUAAACUGUCGUCUGUCUG